ensembl:rRNA 5S_rRNA 5S ribosomal RNA
AUUUCUGUGCGUACCAACCUGGCUGUGCCCGAUCUCGUCUGAUCUCGGAAGCUAAGCAGGUUUGGGCCUGGUAAGUACUUGGAUGGUAGACUGCCUGGAAAUACCAGGUGCUGUAAGCU